rnacentral:rRNA from 1 species
UACGAAGGGGGCUAGCGUUGUUCGGAAUUACUGGGCGUAAAGGGCGCGUAGGCGGCCCGCUAAGUCGAACGUGAAAUCCCCGGGCUCAACCCGGGAACUGCGUCCGAUACUGGCAGGCUUGAAUCCGGGAGAGGGAUGCGGAAUUCCAGGUGUAGCGGUGAAAUGCGUAGAUAUCUGGAGGAACACCGGUGGCGAAGGCGGCAUCCUGGACCAUUACUGACGCUGAGGCGCGAAAGCUAGGGGAGCAAACGGG